rnacentral:rRNA from 1 species
CCUACGGGAGGCAGCAGUGGGGAAUUUUGGACAAUGGGCGAAAGCCUGAUCCAGCAAUGCCGCGUGUGGGAAGAAGGCCUUCGGGUUGUAAACCACUUUUGUACGGAACGAAACGGUUCGCUUUAAUACAGUGGGCUAAUGACGGUACCGUAAGAAUAAGCACCGGCUAACUACGUGCCAGCAGCCGCGGUAAUACGUAGGGUGCGAGCGUUAAUCGGAAUUACUGGGCGUAAAGCGUGCGCAGGCGGUCAUAUAAGACAGUUGUGAAAUCCCCGGGCUCAACCUGGGAAUUGCAUCUGUGACUGUAUAGCUAGAGUACGGUAGAGGGGGAUGGAAUUCCGCGUGUAGCAGUGAAAUGCGUAGAUAUGCGGAGGAACACCGAUGGCGAAGGCAAUCCCCUGGACCUGUACUGACGCUCAUGCACGAAAGCGUGGGGAGCAAACAGGAUUAGAUACCCUGGUAGUCCACGCCCUAAACGAUGUCAACUGGUUGUUGGGUGCAUUAGUACUCAGUAACGAAGCUAACGCGUGAAGUUGACCGCCUGGGGAGUACGGCCGCAGGUUGAAACUCAAGAUUGACGG